CGCGUAGGCGGUCAUUUAAGUCAGCUGUGAAAUGGUUUGGCUUAACCGGAUCAUGCGGUUGAAACUGGAUGACUGGAGUGCUGGAGAGGCAAGUGGAACUCCCAGUGUAGCGGUGAAAUGCGUAGAUAUUGGGAAGAACACCGGUGGCGAAGGCGACUUGCUGGCCAGUAACUGACGCUGAGGCGCGAAAGCCAGGGGAGCAAACG
rnacentral:rRNA from 1 species